rnacentral:rRNA from 1 species
GACGAACGCUGGCGGCGUGCCUAAUACAUGCAAGUUGAGCGCUGAAGGUUGGUACUUGUACCAACUGGAUGAGCAGCGAACGGGUGAGUAACGCGUGGGGAAUCUGCCUUUGAGCGGGGGACAACAUUUGGAAACGAAUGCUAAUACCGCAUAAAAACUUUAAACACAAGUUUUAAGUUUGAAAGAUGCAAUUGCAUCACUCAAAGAUGAUCCCGCGUUGUAUUAGCUAGUUGGUGAGGUAAAGGCUCACCAAGGCGAUGAUACAUAGCCGACCUGAGAGGGUGAUCGGCCACAUUGGGACUGAGACACGGCCCAAACUCCUACGGGAGGCAGCAGUAGGGAAUCUUCGGCAAUGGACGAAAGGCUGACCGAGCAACGCCGCGGGAGGGAAGAAGGGUUUCGGAUCGUAAAACUCUGUUGGUAGAGAAGAACGUUGGUGAGAGUGGAAAGCUCAUCAAGUGACGGUAACUACCCAGAAAGGGACGGCUAACUACGUG